rnacentral:rRNA from 1 species
UUACGCUGUUAUCCCUAAGGUAAUUUAUUUUAUAAUACUAAAUUUUUAGGAUUAAUAUUUCAUAGAUUAAUGUUUUUAUUUUUAAAAGUUUCUUAAAUUUUAAAAUUACCCCAAUUAAAUAAUAUAUUUAAUUUAAUUUAUUAAUAGUAAAAUAUUAAUUAAAUAUAUUAUAAAAUUCUAAGGGGUCUUCUCGUCUUUUAAUUUUAUUUAAGAAUUUUAACUUAAAUUUUAAUUUUAAUUUUUAAUUUUAUUUAUAUAGAGUAUAUUUCAUUAAAUCUUUCAUUCUAGAUUUCAAUUAAAAAUCUAAUUAUUAUGCUACCUUUGUACAGUUAUAAAUACUGCAGCCAUUAAAAUUUUCAUUGGGCAGAUUUGACUUAAAAUUAUUAUCAAUAAGACAUGUUUUUGUUAAACAGGCG